AGACGGAGGGCGCAAGCGUUGUUCGGAAUUACUGGGCGUAAAGGGCAGGUAGGUGGUCUGUUAAGUCUUCUGUGAAAACCCGGGGCUCAACCCCGCGGAAUGCAGGUGAAACUGGCAGACUUGAGACCGGUAGAGGCUAGCGGAAUUCCUGGUGUAGCGGUGGAAUGCGUAGAUAUCAGGAAGAACACCUGUGGCGAAGGCGGCUAGCUGGGCCGGUUCUGACACUGAACUGCGAAAGCGUGGGGAGCAAACAGGAUUAGAAACCCCGGUAGUCC
rnacentral:rRNA from 1 species